ACAUAAUAAAUAAAUAAAAAAUAAUGUAGGAUAAAGGAAGGGGAGGGGUUUCUUGGCUAAUGGUCAAGAGAGAACUGGAAUGUUUGAUUUCAGGUGAAGACUGUCUUUCUGCUCAUACCUGCUCCGAAAAUGGCCAACACCAACCUCUGUUUUCUCCUGUCAGCCUUUAAACCACGAUAGAUAGGACCGCUAUGCCACAAACAGCCGGAAGUGCCCCCUCGCCCCUCCCCCGCCAUCCUGCCGAAGGGACCGAGACUCAUAGGAGGGGCUUCUCAGGCCAAAGGACCCACGGAGGAAGCUGAAGGGUCCCCAGUACAGUGCCUGGGACAUAGCAGCAAAUUGAUUUGCUUAAUAAACAUUACAGAGCACUUACUACACACUCACUUUGAAAUGGGAGUCGGAAUCCAGCAGGAGCAGAGGCGGAGGUCUAAUCUAUUAAUAGAAGAGUCAUAUCAUAAACACAGAAGGCAGCAAAUGAAGUGACCGUAGACACAAAGUCGAGGGAGCAGCAGAAACAGAAGGAUCCGGGACGUAGACGGGGAGCCGCCUCUGACGGGACCAGAGACUUCAUCUUUCAUGACCGCAAGGACGUGCCAAGUGGAGAUCUCUCAAGAGAUGGCUGGAUUCUGUGAUACUCCACGCACAGCACGUUACAGCCUCAGUCUUCAUGAGACCCUCCCACAUAUUGACAGAAACUUAGUCACAGGACUGUUGCGAGAACCCAGACUCAACAAAGGCGGAAGCGCCCGGCAAGCAAACAAUCCCAGCUCACGGAAAGGGGGUCCAGGCCAGUGCAUGGUGGCUCCUCCCGUGGGAUGGCCCGGUGUUACCGGAUGAAGUGGUGUGAGCCCCUGGGGUGCCUGGAUGAGCAGGCAUCCAUUUGGCUCAGUUGCAGCAGACGGCAGUUGGGUAUGGGCUGUGUUGGAAGAUGGCAAUACAGGAGUGAGCCCUGGGUGUUAGUUUGCAGACCCUGAAGGUUAACUCUACGGAGCCCUAGUUCCCCAGGCCUCCCUCCUCUGCGUGUCCCGUCUACAGGGUGGACAUCCGGUUACCUUUGAAUGAGCAGUUACCAGCAGCUCAUGGACCUACACGUCCCUCCGCUUAGAGCUCUCUCUUUUCCCUCCUCAUCUCAUCUUUCAUCCUUUAGCUUCCCUUUCUCAGAGAAACCUUUCUGGGCUCAUUUCACACACAGACACCACGGACAUACACACACGCACACUUCCUAAUUAGCUCCUAUCACACCAGUGGCCAUCUUGCCACCAGACUGUGUGUUCCAGAGGACUGGACACCAGUGCAUCCUCAAUGCUUACUCUAGAGCCUGGCAUGUAAGACAUGCUCAAUGAUUUGUUGCAUGAAUGACUAGAUCGAAUCAUUCCUGUUUCGGGGAUCAGACCUUGCCUGAACACAGGAGGAGCACCACCGCCCAGGCCGAGCUUUGCCUCCUCUCAAUCUUGCUUCUUGGCUUGGUAUUCCUCCCUAGUUGCCACCACACAGGAUGGUCCUGAAUAUUGCUUGCUAAAUAAAUGAAUGGAUUC